rnacentral:rRNA from 1 species
GCGACGGGUGAGUACACGUGGGCAAUCUGCCCUGCACUCUGGGACAAGCCCUGGAAACGGGGUCUAAUACCGGAUACUGAUCCUCGCAGGCAUCUGCGAGGUUCGAAAGCUCCGGCGGUGCAGGAUGAGCCCGCGGCCUAUCAGCUAGUUGGUGAGGUAACGGCUCACCAAGGCGACGACGGGUAGCCGGCCUGAGAGGGCGACCGGCCACACUGGGACUGAGACACGGCCCAGACUCCUACGGGAGGCAGCAGUGGGGAAUAUUGCACAAUGGGCGAAAGCCUGAUGCAGCGACGCCGCGUGAGGGAUGACGGCCUUCGGGUUGUAAACCUCUUUCAGCAGGGAAGAAGCGAAAGUGACGGUACCUGCAGAAGAAGCGCCGGCUAACUACGUGCCAGCAGCCGGGGGUAAUACG